GCUAAACCCCGACUUCGGAAGGCGUGUAUUUAUUAGAUACAAAACCAAUGCCCUUCGGGGCUCUUUGGUGAUUCAUGAUAACUAUACGAAUCGCACGGCCUUGCGCCGGCGAUGGUUCAUUCAAAUUUCUUCCCUAUCAACUUUCGAUGUUUGGGUAUUGGCCAAACAUGGUUGCAACGGGUAACGGAGGGUUAGGGCUCGACCCCGGAGAAGGAGCCUGAGAAACGGCUACUACAUCCAAGGAAGGCAGCAGGCGCGCAAAUUACCCAAUCCCGACUCGGGGAGGUAGUGACAAUAAAUACUGAUACAGGCCCUUUUCGGGCCUUGUWAWUUGGAAUGGAGUACAUUUAAAUCCCUUAACRRGAACAAUUKGARGGCAAGUCUGGKCCMAGCACCCCSGUAWUUCCAGCUCMAWWAGCGKWWWUAAAGUUGUUGUGGUUAAAAASYYCGWAUUUGACUAGGCUUGCUAGACAGUCCCCUYACCGGUGMMUGGGUCCGGCCGCCCUUUCUCUUGUGGAAWCCCUAWCCGUCAUGGSUGCCGGAAAACCRGGAAAUAUCUUUUGGAAAAAAUAUGGU
rnacentral:rRNA from 1 species